GUGGACGCAUCACUGGUGUUCGGGUUGUUCAUGCCAAUGGCACUGCCCGGUAGCUAAAUGCGGAAGAGAUAAGUGCUGAAAGCAUCUAAGCACGAAACUUGCCCCGAGAUGAGUUCUCCCUGAGACUAUAAGUCUCCUGAAGGAACGUUAAAGACGAUGACGUUGAUAGGCCGGGUGUGUAAGCGCAGCGAUGCGUUGAGCUAACCGGUACUAAUGAACCGUGAGGCUUAACCUUAC
rnacentral:rRNA from 1 species